rnacentral:rRNA from 1 species
GAACGCUGGCGGCAGGCUUAACACAUGCAAGUCGAGCGGAAACGAUGGUAGCUUGCUACCAGGCGUCGAGCGGCGGACGGGUGAGUAAUACUUAGGAAUCUACCUAGUAGUGGGGGAUAGCACGGGGAAACUCGUAUUAAUACCGCAUACGACCUACGGGAGAAAGGGGGCAGUUUACUGCUCUCGCUAUUAGAUGAGCCUAAGUCGGAUUAGCUAGAUGGUGGGGUAAAGGCCUACCAUGGCGACGAUCUGUAGCUGGUCUGAGAGGAUGAUCAGCCACACCGGGACUGAGACACGGCCCGGACUCCUACGGGAGGCAGCAGUGGGGAAUAUUGGACAAUGGGGGAAACCCUGAUCCAGCCAUGCCGCGUGUGUGAAGAAGGCCUUUUGGUUGUAAAGCACUUUAAGCAGUGAAGAAGACUCUUCGGUUAAUACCCGGAGACGAUGACAUUAGCUGCAGAAU